GAAACAUGUAGCCAGCAAAGUUUUUGUCUAUCAAGUUAGGCUUCGUAUAACGUAGCUACAGACGUUUGAAGUCAGCUAAGUUUUUGUCUGUACUGAAAAAAUCCUAAGGCAUAAUGUGCUUUGACUGUGACCGGAGUCAAACGCAGGGCCUGUUCUGUAAUCCACGUCUCUAACCACUACGCUAUUUAAGGGGUAGUCAGUCACUCACCCACUCAGUAAGAGACAUUCACUCUUCUAGGCCGGCUCCUCUUACGCGGUCCGGCAAAAACCAAUCAAGAACCAUGUGAGGAAUGAGACAUCCUGUAUGUCAUACAUGUGACAUACUUUAUGUUAAGGAGGGACUUAUGGUAGAGGAGGAGCUGAACAGAAGUUAAUAAUAUAGAAACAGGCAGAACCUUUAGAGAGAUUUUAGCUUUCUUAAUCUAAGUUUUGUUCCAAAACAUGUUCAAAAAUAAUACUAAACAUUGUUACACUUGUCCAUUGGAAAUAAUUGUUUUGAUAUUUGUAAAAUAUUAUGUGUAUUAACACCAUCUCUUUGCAGGUAUCAGUUCUGAGGAUCUGACUCCACUUAAGAAUGAAGAAAACUAAUAGGGGGAACCUCUGUUACCCUGUCUUACAAGUACUCCACAACAACAAAUGCUCCUGAUUAUUUCUAUUGGUAUCGUCAAGACAUAGCACAAAGGCCAGAGUUCCUUGUGUACAUCUCUGGUUCAGUUGAGUGUCAUCAUGAACAACAGGAAGGGUGGCAGUGACGUUCUUCAGUUUUAUGGGAAGCCUCAGAAAAGAAGGAAAAUUAGUACCGUCAGAUGAUGGAGUGGUGCGUUCAGAGUAGAGAGAAAGAGGGGGAGAGAGCAUGAGGAUGUCAACAGGGCAGGCAGAGCAGGUGACUUGGAGGUGAGUGAGAAAAGGAG
ensembl:lncRNA